UUGACCCAAGAUGUCUGCAGCUGUGAAGGUAUCCUACAGCCCAUUGACUUUUGUCCUAACUUUCUUUCAGAUGCAGAUGGAUAAAAUCCAUAGCAGAGCAGGCCAUCCCAGGAAGUAAAGGCAUAUAGCAACAGUCAAGUUCAAGUGGGCAAGGUAAUCCACUCAAGUUAUGUCAAGCCCCCAUCACCAACCAGCCGACGGACCAAUUUUGCUGCUCUUGUGGGCCCUGUGGAGGUAUUGCAGCACCCUGUGAUGAAGCUUUGAAAUUUUCUGCUUAAAGGUCCCUUCUGGAUAACCCUUAGGAAUGCUUGAGGAGUC